GAUGAACGCUGGCGGCGUGCCUAAUACAUGCAAGUCGAGCGAACAGAUAAGGAGCUUGCUCCUUUGACGUUAGCGGCGGACGGGUGAGUAACACGUGGGUAACCUACCUAUAAGACUGGGAUAACUUCGGGAAACCGGGGCUAAUACCGGAUAACAUGUAGAACCGCAUGGUUCAAAAGUGAAAGAGGGUUUUGCUGUCACUUAUAGAUGGACCCGCGCCGGAUUAGCUAGUUGGUAAGGUAACGGCUUACCAAGGCAACGAUACGUAGCCGACCUGAGAGGGUGAUCGGCCACACUGGAACUGAGACACGGUCCAGACUACUACGGGAGGCAGCAGUAGGGAAUGUUCCGCAAUGGGCGAAAGCCUGACGGAGCAACGCCGCGUGAGUGAUGAAGGUCUUCGGAUCGUAAAACUCUGUUAUUAGGGAAGAACAAAUGUGUAAGUAACUGUGCACGUCUUGACGGUACCUAAUCAGAAAGCCACGGCUAACUACGUG
rnacentral:rRNA from 1 species